rnacentral:rRNA from 1 species
GGCUCAGAAUGAACGCUGGCGGCGUGGAUUAGGCAUGCAAGUCGUACGAUGAAGCAGGCUUCGGCCUGUGGAUUAGUGGCGACCUGGUCAGUAACAGUUGGGUACUUGCCCGGAAGUGGGGAACAACCCAGGGAAACCUGGGCUAAUACCGCAUGUGGACGAAAGUCUAAAGCAGCAAUGCGCUUCCGGAUGGGCCCGACCCCCAUUAGCUUGUUGGUAGGGUAAUGGCCUACCAAGGCUACGAUGGGUAGGUGGCGUGAGAGCGUGGUCACCGACACGAGGACUGAGAUACGGCCUCGACUCCUACGGGGGGCAGCAGUCUAGAAGCUUCGACAAUGGACGAAAGUCUGAUCGAGCGACGCCGCGUGAGGGACGAAGCCCCUUGGGGUGUAAACCUCUUUCGCUGGGGAAGAACGUCUGGAAGGCGAUUCCAGGCUUGACGGUACCCAGAGAAGAAGCACCGGCUAACUCCGUGCCAGCAGCCGCGGUAAUACGGGGGGUGCAAGCGUUAUUCGGAUUCAUUGGGCGUAAAGGGCGCGUAGGCGGUCAGGCAAGUCUGGUGUGAAAACGCUACCGCUCAACGGAGCGAUUGCAUCGGAUACUGUCUGACUUGAGUUCGGGAGAGGUAAGCGGAACGAGUGGUGUAGCGGUGGAAUGCGUAGAUAUCACUCAGAAUACCCGUGGCGAAGGCGGCUUACUGGACCGACACUGACGCUGAGGCGCGAAAGCGUGGGGAGCAAACGGGAUUAGAUACCCCGGUAGUCCACGCUGUAAACGGUGGAUACUAGGUGUGGAGGGUAUCGACCCCUUCCGUGCCGAAGGUAACCCAUUAAGUAUCCCGCCUGGGAAGUACGGCCGCAAGGUUGAAACUCAAAGGAAUUGACGGGGGCCCGCACAAGCGGUGGAGCAUGUGGUUUAAUUCGAUGCAACGCGAAGAACCUUACCUGGGGCUUGACCGCAC